GAAGGUAUAGCUCCGUUGUAGAGUGUGGGCCUAACAUGCAUAAGGUCCUGGGUUCAAUCCCCAGUACCUCCA
rnacentral:tRNA from 1 species